rnacentral:tRNA from 4 species
GCCGGGGUGGCCGAGUGGUCUAAGGCGGCACUACCAGCCCAUCGGUAGCGCUAGGGGCCGCAGUGGUACUAGUUGACACCCGUUAUUUCGCGGGUUCGAAUCCCGCCCCCGGCU